rnacentral:rRNA from 1 species
UACGGGGGCAAGCGUUGUUCGGAAUUACUGGGCGUAAAGGGCUCGUAGGCGGCCAACUAAGUCGGACGUGAAAUCCCUCGGCUUAACCGGGGAACUGCGUCCGAUACUGGAUGGCUUGAGUUCGGGAGAGGGAUGCGGAAUUCCAGGUGUAGCGGUGAAAUGCGUAGAUAUCUGGAGGAACACCGGUGGUGAAGGCGGCAUCCUGGACCGACACUGACGCUGAGGAGCGAAAGCCAGGGGAGCAAACGGGG